UAGGGAAUCUUCGGCAAUGGGGGGAACCCUGACCGAGCAACGCCGCGGGAGUGAAGAAGGUUUUCGGAUCGUAAAGCUCUGUUGUUAAGGAAGAACGAGUGUGAGAAUGGAAAGUUCAUACUGUGACGGUACUUAACAAGAAAGGGACGGCUAACUACGUGCCAGCAGCCGCGGUAAUACGUAGGUCCCGAGCGUUGUCAGGAGUUAUUGGGCGUAAAGCGAGCGCAGGCGGUCAAUUAAGUCUUGUGUGAAAGCCCCCGGCUGAACCGGGGGGGGUCAUUGGAAACUGGUUGACUUGAGUUCUGAAGAGGAGAGUGGAAUUCCAUGUGUAGCGGUGAAAUGCGUUGGUUUAUGGAGGAACACCAGUGGCGGAGGCGACUCUCUGGUCUGUAACUGACGCUGAGGCUGGAAAGCGUGGGUAGCAAACAGG
rnacentral:rRNA from 1 species